UACGUAGGGUGCGAGCGUUGUCCGGAAUUAUUGGGCGUAAAGAGCUUGUAGGCGGUUUGUCGCGUCUGCCGUGAAAAUCCGGGGCUCAACCCGGACUUGCGGUGGGUACGGGCAGACUAGAGUGUGGUAGGGGAGACUGGAAUUCCUGGUGUAGCGGUGAAAUGCGCAGAUAUCAGGAGGAACACCGAUGGCGAAGGCAGGUCUCUGGGCCACUACUGACGUGAGAAGCGAAAGCGUGGGGAGCGAACAGG
rnacentral:rRNA from 1 species